rnacentral:lncRNA from 1 species
AUUGGUCCGUACAGCUUUUCAUUUUCUCUCCUUGAAAGAGAACCCUUUUGUCAUUUUCGGAGCUCUUAUCUGAGGAUAUCCUCUAGCUUUCUUGAUUUUGCAAGGCAUUGAGUUAUAAACAUCUAAGUGGUCUUGUAGUAAGUACACCAAGUGAUAUUAAUGAAUAGGAUGCUGAAUUGAGCUGAGAGUCUUACUCUUUAGCAAGCAUGUGCUUUGUUCUAUUCAGGGCAUAUUUUCAGAGGUAUUCCUAUGUGUCAAGUUAAAUUGAUUUUUGAGAGUUAUGAGUGGCAUUAUUGGUCUCAGCUAUGUUAAUAGGAUUGCUUUGGAACUGGAAGAGAG